AUGUAUACAAUGAACGUGCCAAAAUUCUUGUGGAGUGAGGCUGUAAUAACAGCUACAUUCCUCAUCAACCGGAUGCCGUCAAGGGUGAUUGGAAUGAAGUCGCCAUGUGAGAUGUUACUAGGUGAGAACAAAUUCUUAGUUCCUCCUAAGGUAUUUGGAUGCACCUGCUUUGUCCGGGAUCAUAGACCCUCAGUGGGAAAAUUGGAUCCACGAGCAGUAAAGUGCAUCUUCAUAGGUUACCCAUCUGGUCAGAAGGGAUACAAGUGUUGGAGUCCCAGCGAGUGGAGAACAUUUGUGAGCAUGGAUGUGACAUUCAGGAGUCUGAACCGUUUUAUGGAGAAAAAACGGAUCUCAGCUCGUUAUUUGACUUCGACUCUCCUAGCAUGA
rnacentral:rRNA from 1 species